AAACAACAAAAAUGAACACAUUUAGUAGGUAUGUUGACAUAGCAACCGCGCGCGAUGAACAUUCUGUCUCAACAAUUUGUUCCAAACUGCGUGGUACUGUUAAAAUGUGUGUCAUGCAAUAUCCACUCCUCGCCGCCUAGUGGCAGUAUGUUUUUCCUGAAUAUGACAGUAAUUAUGUCGAGAACAACCCCCGGAAGCGUUAGACAUUUCGAGCUUUUCAGCCCUGAGGUGUUUUCAGUUCACAGCAACUGUCUGAAGAUUUGAGUGAUUUUCAACCGGUCGGCGGCCUUCAUCAAAACUCUGGACACUAAUGAAAGCUAAUUAUGAAAAGAAGGAAGGGGCCCAACACACAGCCAGGUCUAGCCAGACAGCACCUCCUGGACAAGACAAGAAAAUGAAUGACUAGGAAUAUUAAUGUAUAUUUGCAUUUUCAGGGUGUAUAAAUAUGAAUUCAUAAUUAAUAGUGGUGUGUAAAGUUGUCUUCGCUUGUAUUGUGAAAAUAAAAUGUUUAUGAAUAUGAAA